rnacentral:lncRNA from 1 species
CUAAAGUCACACAGGUCAUAGAUGUAAAGGUUGGAUUUUAACCAGGGUCUUUGGAUUCUGGAAUUUGUACUCUUUCCAUUGUGUUAAUUUUUUUUUAUUUGUGUUUAAGGUAUCUUUCAGAUUCCAAAGAGACAUUCAGAAUUCUGUCUAGGUCUUGGAAACUGAGUUACACUUAAGGUUCUGUGAUUGGAAUAAGAAGUUUUUGGAAUGAACAGUUUUCUCCAUGGAAUAGAACAAUUCUAAAACCAGUAUGCUCCUUUCAAUUUCAACCAGAUAAAAGGUACUGGAAGGUUAUCCUACUCAUGACAGAAUGCACACAGUAAGGUAUAAGUACCUAGACCACAAUGUCAG